GCUCGGGCUCUGCCUGCGAGGGCGACAGGCAGGAAGAGCUCCGGAGCCAGCCCGGCGUGGCACGGCCGGGACGCGGCUGGGAUGGGCUCGGCUCAUGGAUUCGGGGAGAGGAGCCGGCGCUGAGCUGGCGUUUUCCUGCCGGAGCUCUCCGGGAUCUCAGUGAUGGAGCUCUCCGGGAUCUCGCUGCCAGAGCUGUCUGGGAUCUCGCUACUGGAGCGCCCCGGGGCUCGCUGACGAGCUCUUUGGGAUCUCGCUGGGGGAGGUGUCUGGAGCUCGCUGUCAGAUCUGUCUCUCCGGGAUCUCACUGUUGGACCUUUCUGGAGCUCGCUGGCAGAGCUCUCUCUCGGGAUCUCAGUGACAGAGCUCUCUGGGAUCUCACUGUCGGAUCUCUCCAGGAUCUCACUGCUGGAUCUCUCCGGGAUCUCACUG